UUCGGAGGCGAGGAUGAAAAGGGAACCGGGUGCAAUUCCCGGACAGUCCCGCUGCUGUGAAGCUCCGCAACAUUCCGAACAUCUCAGCCACUGGCCGCGUGCCGGGAAGGCUUCGGAACAGGAGCCAGUCAGAAGACCUGCCAAAUCGA
rnacentral:ncRNA from 1 species